GAUGAACGCUGGCGGCGUGCUUAACACAUGCAAGUCGAACGGGAUCCAUCAGGCUUUGCUUGGUGGUGAGAGUGGCGAACGGGUGAGUAAUGCGUGACCGACCUGCCCCAUACACCGGAAUAGCUCCUGGAAACGGGUGGUAAUGCCGGAUGCUCCGACUCCUCGCAUGGGGUGUCGGGAAAGAUUUCAUCGGUAUGGGAUGGGGUCGCGUCCUAUCAGGUAGUCGGCGGGGUAACGGCCCACCGAGCCUACGACGGGUAGCCGGCCUGAGAGGGCGACCGGCCACAUUGGGACUGAGAUACGGCCCAGACUCCUACGGGAGGCAGCAGUGGGGAAUAUUGCACAAUGGGCGCAAGCCUGAUGCAGCGACGCCGCGUGCGGGAUGACGGCCUUCGGGUUGUAAACCGCUUUUGAUCGGGAGCAAGCCUUCGGGUGAGUGUACCUUUCGAAUAAGCACCGGCUAACUACGUGCCAGCAGCCGCGGUAAUACGUAGGGUGCAAGCGUUAUCCGGAAUUAUUGGGCGUAAAGGGCUCGUAGGCGGUUCGUCGCGUCCGGUGUGAAAGUCCAUCGCUUAACGGUGGAUCUGCGCCGGGUACGGGCGGGCUGGAGUGCGGUAGGGGAGACUGGAAUUCCCGGUGUAACGGUGGAAUGUGUAGAUAUCGGGAAGAACACCAAUGGCGAAGGCAGGUCUCUGGGCCGUUACUGACGCUGAGGAGCGAAAGCGUGGGGAGCGAACAGGAUUAGAUACCCUGGUAGUCCACGCCGUAAACGGUGGAUGCUGGAUGUGGGGCCCGUUCCACGGGUUCCGUGUCGGAGCUAACGCGUUAAGCAUCCCGCCUGGGGAGUACGGCCGCAAGGCUAAAACUCAAAGAAAUUGACGGGGGCCCGCACAAGCGGCGGAGCAUGCGGAUUAAUUCGAUGCAACGCGAAGAACCUUACCUGGGCUUGACAUGUUCCCGACAGCCGUAGAGAUAUGGCCUCCCUUCGGGGCGGGUUCACAGGUGGUGCAUGGUCGUCGUCAGCUCGUGUCGUGAGAUGUUGGGUUAAGUCCCGCAACGAGCGCAACCCUCGCCCUGUGUUGCCAGCACGUCAUGGUGGGAACUCACGGGGGACCGCCGGGGUCAACUCGGAGGAAGGUGGGGAUGACGUCAGAUCAUCAUGCCCCUUACGUCCAGGGCUUCACGCAUGCUACAAUGGCCGGUACAACGGGAUGCGACACGGCGACGUGGAGCGGAUCCCUGAAAACCGGUCUCAGUUCGGAUUGGAGUCUGCAACCCGACUCCAUGAAGGCGGAGUCGCUAGUAAUCGCGGAUCAGCAACGCCGCGGUGAAUGCGUUCCCGGGCCU
rnacentral:rRNA from 1 species